GAGAGAGCGAAAGAGAGAGAGAGAGAGAAAGAGAGAGAGAGGGAGAGAGAGAGAAAAAAUUAACAGAAACAGAGCGUGGAGAAAAGAGCAUGAUAACGAGCGCAAGUGGCAACGCUUGCUAAUUAUUCGUCCGUCUCUUUCCUCGUGUCCCUCCGCGCGAACCCUUCUUCGCCUUUCUCCUUCCGCAUUGUCACGCGGAUCGGCAAGGGUGGCCCGUUCCGAAAAGCGGAGCCCGAGUACGUGCGCGAGAGUGGUGAGCGUCGGGCCGAAGAGUGUAGUGCGCGAGCGAGCAAGUGUGCGGGUGGCCGUACAGUCGAGAGAGGAGCGGUCGUCUCGUGGGUAUAUUUAAAUAGUGUCUCGGCUGAUCAGAGAGGAGGCCGACACUUUCCUCGUCGUCGUCGUCGUCGUCUCCGCCGCCGUUACCGUCCUCGUAUUCCUCUUUUCGUCCCCGUUAUAGAGAAUCUCCGUUUCGCCGACCGUGUCCCGCGCUCUCCCUCCCUCUCUCUCUCUCUCUCUCUUUCUCACUUUUGCCGCUUCGGUCCGCGACACCCCGAGUCUCGGACAGCGCGCGAGGGGUUGGCGAGACGAUCCGCGGAAUUCCGCACGACUCGAUGUCGCUGACGGCCGCGGGUGUUCCCUGGUGCGAGGCCGAGCAGUUCCGUUUGCCCGCGAGUGCGAGCGAACACGUGGACUAGAGAGGACUACUCGGCCGGUUCCGUCGACUGUCAAGCAUCCGAGCCCGUCUCGCUCGGAAUCGCGGAAAGAACUCGACGGGGCUCUCGCGGUGAGACCAUCGAUGAGGCCCCGGUUCAGGUCGGACCAGGAUGAUCGUGCCGAUCGCGAAUCAUAAUGAACACGACCUAUGAGAGAUCAAUGCUGGUUAUCGCGUCCGCGAUCGUCGCAGCCGCCGGUCGGGAUCAUCUGCGAUAAUACGACGCCUUUCCGAAGAAAGAAAGGAAAACGCCCGUAGAUAAGAUAAGCGGCCGCAUCUUGCGGUUCGCCACCGGUGCUGUUUCCGCCAGCUUUGACGAUGAGGAGAAUAGUGUCUCGUAGGACGAAGAGGAAUAUGGAAGAAACCCCGACGUUCCACUACCGGCGGUACAACACCUCGUGAGGAGCCCGAAUCCCGGAAGAGGAAGCCGACAACGAUCUAGCCGUUUGGGCGAGCGGGACGAGAAAGAGAGAGAGAGAGAGAGAGACAGAGGUGACUACUCGCGAGGGGGGAAACAACGAGGAACAUAGGACUCGCAGGAGCAUCUGUAUCAGCGAAAGGGACACGUUCCCCGAGCACCAAGAAGGAGGGGGCGAGAAACGCGUGCCUCUGUGCGAGUCGGGGUGACCGAGGUGUCGACCUCACCCCCGAUCACACCGCCAACCAGGUUGGAUGAUGUGGGCGCCUCUGCUUUUGGCCGGGUUCUUAAGCGGCUGGUGGGGCGCACUGGCGCUCGCUGCGGCACCCCCCGCCAUUCGGGACACCGUCCUCGGGAAAACGUCCGGGACGACGACAAGCAUCACCGAGGCGAGGCACUAUCGUCCACUGUCGAUAAGCGUGGUGGACGAGGCCGGAGUUACGGGGUGGUACCAGUCGCGAGAAAUUGCGGCACACCCGGAGCACACGUCCUCCGACCUUCGCCCAGCUCGUCCUCGCGACCUCGACGCGGUCUCGCUGCUUCGUCAGAGCUCGGUGAACCUCGGGGAGGACCUCAUCCGAGAUGGAGAAGGAUCGCCGGAGAGCGACAUGCGACGGUUCUCGUAUUACCUGGCGACACGUGGAGCAACGUCGUCCGCGGUGGAUCCUGGAACUCGGCCGAGUCCCAAACGAACGGAGGACCCCGCCAAGGACAGCGCCUCCCUCCCCGCCGUCGAGACGGAGACGCGCGUUCGCGCCUUUCAUCCCGAGAUAAACGAGUCCGGUCUGACUCGCGCGCCCCGUCACUCCUCGACGCAAGCACCCCUCGCGUAUUCACCGGCGGAGUCGUCGAUGCAGCGGCCACGGAUCGCCAGAUCGACGAAGCAGAGACCAAAGAACCGUACCAGAGCGGACUCGCCCCGCGAGCAGCGACGCCGCUGCAGAAACAAGGACAGAGGCUGCCGCGGUCAAAACUGGUGUCCCGAUGUUGACGUGGGCAAUCGGGCCUACCUGGCGCCCACCGUGUUCGAGGGUAAGGUUCGCAGCAUGUCCUCGCGGAGGAAGCCCGGCUUCAACUACGCGGUGACCUUCGAGGUGAAGCAGGUAUACAAGAACCAGCCGGGCUUUCAGCCGCUGCAGAAGAACGAUAGCGUGCGGCUACAUUUUCGCGACAAAUUGGUGCCUGGCAAGUCGACCGUGUGCAACGGCCACGAGGCCGGUAACAAGCAGCAGCAGCAGCAACAGCAGCAACGCGAUAAUCCGAGUGGUGUGGUGCGAGCCAAUAUUAAAAGGGGCAAAGUGUAUCUAGUGUUUGUGGAUCGCGUGGGACCCAGAAACUUCACGAUCCUCGGCGAGCCGGUGAUCCGAAACAAGAAGAACGAACAAGUCGUCCAAGCUGUCGUUCGACCGGAUUACGUGCGAGAAGUUACGUUGUCCGAACUCAGGGACUCGAUAGCGAGGUUACGGGAGAGAGUGAAGCUAGUAUGCAGGACGAGGGGCUCGCCGCCCCCGAGAGUGCACUGGCUGAAGGACGGUGUACCGCUGCACCCCCGAAGAGGCCUCAGGAUUCAGCACAAACGGCGGAGAUCGAAAGUCGUGAUAUCCUCCGCGAAGCCUGAGGACAGUGGCAGAUACGAAUGCGUGGCUGAGAGUACUUCCGGUCAUCGGGCCUCACUUACGGCUCAACUUCUAGUCGCUCAUGAUAACAGAAUUCCGGAAACAACGACAGCGGCGUGGCCGCGGCAGGAGCAGCCCUGUCCAAUAGCAGGAGAUUUUUGCAUGAACGGUGGUACCUGCCUAUUUUUCGAGACUGUCGGUGAACCAGCAUGCAAAUGCGCAGAGGGCUUCACGGGUCUACGGUGCGAGACGAAGGACGUCAGCAGCACCGGAAAUAUGGAUAAGUUCUCUUCGUUCGCCGAGGACGUGACGCUCGCCCGCUUCUAGCGCAUCUAGCGGCACUGUCAAGCUUGCACAUCGGGACAUUCAUCGUGUUUUGUUUUGUUGUAGCCUCACCCAUACGCCCGCCCCUCGCUCCCUAUUCCCGUACAAAUUCCUGCAUCCGCGACUUCGCCCUCCGCGCUCUUCUCGGGCUCUCCUCCCGAAGCGCGCUUCCACCCUUCACCAUAUUACUAUCAUCCAUCGAAUCGCGUAAUCGUCUCGAGCACUCGACGCUGCUCGCCCGUCGUCACUUUUUCCCCAUUUUCCUCCCUCGAACCGUCUUCCUUCUAUCCGUCAUUCUUCUCCUCUAUCGUUUUCCUACGUUUCGUCCACUGUCUACUACCGUCAUCUUCUCGACAUCAAUUUGCUUGGAGACGACGAUAGCAGCCACCAGCGGAAAAUAUCAUCGUUUUUCAAAGGAGAGCCUCAGGAGACGAAGCGAGCCGCCGACCAACGUCAUCCUCACACACAUCGCAUCCUGGACCGUCGUGAGUCGAAAUUUCGCCAGCUAGCCUUCGCGGAAGCCGUCGCGCUGAGCGUCCUUUUUCGUCGGACAAAAAGACCCGGAGAAGCGGAAAGUUUUAACUCUGUAUCCGAAGCUCUUCGCCCUGGGACGCGACAAAGGUGAGGACGAAGACUAUCAAGAACUCGCACGCUACCCAGAAGAAACCAACCCCAUCCAUGGACGGGAUUAGGAAACUUGCAACGAUGCACCUUGCCACCUCAUCUGCAAGAAAACUUGGUUCCUUCGUUCUUUCGACGAGAAAAAAUCAUGAGACACGAUAAUGGACACGCAAAAUGAAUGUAGAAGAGAGUAUUACGAACAACUCGCUGCUUACUUCUACUUAUAAUCCAUUGCGCUCUGGUUGUUUCCGUUACGUUUUUCUUGGGUCAUCCAAUGAUUAGUAGCAUUCUAAUACAUCGAUUAGAGAGACUAUGAAAAUGUUGUCGUCUUACAGGAUCUUUCUUACUGUUAGUAAUGGUGAUUUGAGAAAGGACUUGACGAGAGCAACUUUUCAAUCAGGAUUAUAUCACAUUCGGGACCUUGAGUAAAAACGGUGGCAACGAUACGCGGGUAAAUUUGCUAAUGCUAUUUUCUUCCACGAAAACAAUCGACUUAAAGUCAACGUCGAAACAAGGAACGAAAUCGAGGAACGAAAGUGCCCUUCUGAUUUCUGGUAAAACAGAAGGAGGAGUGUGUCAAAGGUUCUCGUAACGCUCGUUUCCGACGGGGUUUGCACAAGGAAAGAGGAAUAAGAGAGGAAAGCCGUCGUAAAACCAUACCAUAGGGCACGCUCAGAUCGACGUAGUACCACGGGGAUGUCGUGAUAUCAUUUUACGGGAUUGCAGGAAGAGAGAGAGACUCGUGAGGAUGAUCCCGAGUACCGUAAUAGGAUUUUCGGGAUCAGAGCUUUACGCAGGAAGGAUUGCGGUAUCUUUCGGGCACCAAAUAACGCAUAACGCGAAAUUUUCAGCUUCCGCAGACAGAAUACAGCUUUAAUUAACAGAAUGUCCUAUAAUUACGUAAACCACUUUAGCGAAAUUUUAACUGUCCACCUGACUUGGAUGAUAACGCAAAACGAGAUAAUAAAUUCCGUACCGUUAAUUACAUAUCGUCCGCAUAAAGACAAAUUGAGUUUUAAAUCAACUUUUCAUGAUGCUAUUUUUGACAACGCUAAACUUUACCGAAUUCUAUUAAGAUAUACGUUUGUUUUCUGCUAUUUUUAUCUCUGCUAUGUAAUUUACAUAUUCUCCGACAUAUUUUACAUAUAUACAUUUCUGUUAAAUACUUAUAAACAUUAUCGCAUAGUUUCUUUUCAUUUCAAUUACAAUAUUUAAAAUGUUUAAUUGCGUUCAAUUAUGUUUAGUAUCUUUCAAUACUUGAAAUUAUCUUUCCCAGCUGCGUUGUGUCAACUUUGGGACUCAAAGUACAGACGUAAAUCAGGUCUCUAAGAAUAGAUACUAAAAUCCCCUGGCUUAUAAAAAUGUUGAAACGGUCAGGUGAAAAAUUUGUAUACAGCCCGGAAGAUAUACGUCGCAACCGUUUGUAUGUUCAGGAAGGAUCUAGCCAGCUACGAAAAGACGUUCCGCGCGCGCGCGCGCGCGCGCGCGACCUCCGGAGAGAUUUCGCCGAAAAGAAAUCCGACCUCAACGACGCGUUUAGGACACUCCUAUUGUACAAAGUAACCCCCCGUACCCUCUUUUUUAAGCGUCCGGCGCAGCGCGUCGACUCUCGAACGGUGAAAACACCGAGCAGACUCCAUAUGUCGAUUAUCCGUUCGCAGAGCGAAAGAAACGCGCGAGUAAAGUCGAGUAACAGAAGACGAGGACGACUAAACUGUACAAGAACAUCAUUUCUACUACGUUUUCCGAGCUCAAUGCAAUUAUACGUCGUCACUAUCCGACGAUAAAAUCAGAUGUACUUUCAUUAACGAAGCUCGCAAUUAAUAUUGGCAUGAGAGAUUACGUUUCAUCUUUAUCGUAGCAAAUUGUAAUAACGAAUAAAAAUGUCAUUUAAUGAUUUCACUUUAUAGAUAAUAAAUGUUGCAGAAUUGAUGAAAAAGAUUCUAGUUUACGAAUUAGAAAUAUCCUGAUAAAUUAAAAAAUUGUGAAAUAUUAUACAUUGUCUAGUCGACUAGUAUCGAGAGUGGACGCGCGCGCGCUUACUUUUUACAUUUUAAGAACAUACACGGUUACGUAUAGGUAGUUUUGUGGGCGAACAAAGCGAGCAGAGUGUUCCGAGCCGUUCUCACGCGAUGAGAAGCGGAAAGUACUUUACGACUCUAGCUAUAUAAAGCAGAAAAAAAAGAAAGACUCUCGAGCGAGAAGAGAGAUCGUCGUAGCGUAUGAUGUCCGUGCAAGCUUACUAGUGCCGCCGUGCUUUUUCGUUAACUCCGUUUCGUCGCUCGUACCUAUCGAACGAUUUGUAUGAAAGUCAUCGUGGUGAGUCGUCGCGAGACUGGCCGUAGUAAUCGAGAUUUCGCGACAUCAACGAGCGAGUUUCGAUUUUACAGUAGCAGAAAUAUUAGACUCUCAUUUUUGAAACAUACUCUUCCUAUGUAUAAUUCUACCAUGGUAUAUAAUUCUUAAUAAUUUUACAAGGAUGUUAAAUCGUUAUAUCAUCAUUUUACGUUGUACACUCUAUAAUUAUAGAAUGAAAAAUGUUGAAACUGUUUUAGGUCUCGUGUGAAAUUGUUCAACUCGCUCGCUUAAUAUCGCGACUCGAUUCGAAUGUGCAAUUACCGUGACGAGACGGCGAGUCCGCGAAUAGUGAACAAAAGAAAGAAUGUAUUUUAUGAUAUUUUACGCAUAAAGGAAAGAGGAACGAUCGUAAAUCGAAAUAUAGCGUUAGUUGAAGGUAAAUUUAAGUAAGUAGAAGUGUAUAAAUAAAAUGAGACAAUUCGCGCGGGGACACCGCGUCGCGAUCAAACGCGAUUUUACACGUAAGGAGAAUCUCGGUCGACGAGAAGUGGAUGGGACCGCGGAACGGUGGUACGUUGCGUCCGUCACGUUGAUUAAUUGAUUAACGAUGAGACGUUUACUUUUCAUUGUUGUAGCCGGUAUUAUCUCAAUGCACGAGCGUUCGAUCGUAAGAAUCUCCGCAAACACGAGACUCGCUCGACGACACUUUUGCGAAUUAACGCGAAUCACCGUUUCGCGCGAACGAUGCCCAAUCACUGCUAUACUAAGCGCUACUGUAAAAUAUUGUAUAUUAUUUCGCGUUGUUUAUUUUUCAAUGUUUUUACUAGAAACGCGUUUCUACGGUAUUUAAAGAAGAAUUACCGCAUAAUGUUACGCGCUGCUCCGUUACACCGUAUAGAUUGCGAGAACAGUCGUGCAAUCGUUAUCUCUAAAUAAGUACUAGAAUCCUCACCUGUGUACAAUAUUUACACAGAGAAUUUGAAAAUAAAUUUUAAUUAACAUCGUACGCGCAAUUUUGCGCAUUAAAAGGUUACAAUUUGCAUGCGGCGCAUCCUCCAAUUUCUCUCGUGUUUUCCUCAUUACGUUCAACCUCUUUUCCAACCGGCUUUUCUAACGACAAUUUCCGUUUUCCUAAUUCACGUCGCGAGAGAACUUGAAAUAAUUUACGACCCGGCCAACUCUAUUACCAUCAUUGUCCGCUCUCUUACGGUGUUGCGAACCAGCGGGAUAAACACGUUUGUAAAACUGCAGCGUAUCUCCAGCAGCUUUCGCAGUGUGUGUGUGUGUGUGAGCUAAAAAAAAACGAAUGCAGAGCAAAACUAGUCUAGGGCACAUUUAAAGAGCGUAUGGCUUGGGUGCGGAGAAUGUAAUGUCCGACUUUGGCGUCACUCACGUGCUUUUGAAGAGAAACAGAAUAUUUCGAGUAGAAAAUCUUACAAACAUGUAAUUAUACGCAGUUAUAUUCGCGAAAUGGCCAUCUCAGCAACUACACUCAUCUCUUGCAGAAUGUGUAAAAUUCCACGAAUACUGUUCGCCGAACUUUCCUAUAAUUUCAUGAAAUGUCGUCAAUUUGCUCAUGAGAAAGUUUGAAAAUAUUGACCUUUCGGAAAACUUGUGAAAAGAAGACGAGUUAAUGUAAUUUAUUAAGGUAAUUCGCAUAAAUAGAAAAUAUUCGAUAUCUGCGACAAUAGCCCCUUGAAAUUUGAAACGUUGGUGAAAGUGGAAGGUCUGGGAUAUAAUUUUUUACAAUCUUGAAUGCUCGAAAGUACUAUUUUCUCAAAAGUACCGUAUGUCUCAAAGACGAGCCAAGCGGACGAGAAUCGUACGUUUGCGUUCCGCGAUAGUCUUUAUAGCGAAAAGACUACGCACUAUUAAUAAUAUGGCUAAUUCUAGCAGCACGAAGUAUUAACGUUAAUAGCGAAAUUAUUAUAAGGGAGACGUAACGGCGAAUUACUAAUAAAGGUAUAGGUCGCCAUCGAUGUUUCCCGAAACAACCUCCUUCGACAAAAUAUACGACGCUCGGAACAGUGGCAGAUGUAAAUGAAAAAAGUGAUACUCUUUUAUUCCAAUAAUUGGCUAAUCUUUCAAGAGGCUAAAAUUUUAUAAUGAUCGCCUAACAAAUAGUAUGCAAUAAAAAUGUUACGCUCCCUACCCAAAAACUGUUGACUCUUCCCUACGCUGAAGAAACCAAUUUCACUUACCACCUUUAAUUGUUACGCAAAAGGCAAUUGCAGAUUAUAAUGCAAAGUACGAAAAAAGAAAUUGGAAAAUUUUCUACGGUUGGAAUAGAUUGAAAUAGAUGCACGAAAAUGUCAUUUAAAUAUGUGCAAAUGACACAAAAAUAAUGCAGGUAUUAAUUAUCUGGAAUGAUGAGAUAAGAUGAAAAAUAUACAGCUUGGAUACGGUAAAGUGUUUGGAGGAGACCGAAAAAUAAAUUUAAGUAAAAGCUCAUUCGUCGUAACACAUAAAAAGUCUUACAACAAAGAAAUUGGAUUUUUCGACAAUAUAAAUAUGCAGCUCUCAAUUAUUCGAAUAAGAAGCAAUUAUUUUCAUUCAUUUAGAUUUGUCAUCGGAUCGAGUGCCGAUUACCGGGCAUCGCGGACAAACGAUAGCGUGUGUAAGGCACAAGAUGAUUUUUAUUACCGAGUUUCAUUUCUAUCCAAGUGAGGCAGAUUAUGAUGGAAUACAUUACGCUUGUAAAAUAUGAUUUACCUGAAUUUAAAAAGUGUGACGCUAAACUUUUCAAUUCUGUUUUUCGAUUACACGUGACUUUUUCUUUAGAAUACUUUAGAAAUGGAGUAUGACGCGAGGAAUUGUUAGGAAAUGAUUGAGGCUAGUGUCAGCAUCGAGACUCGAUGUGAGAGAAGCUUUACGCUGGAAGACGCUAAGCGUUAGAUGAUUACUAUAAAGCGUCAACAAGCGAAAAUACUUAAUUCUAGUCGUAUCUCUCAUGCUUUGCCAAGUAAGCAUAUAUAACUUUUGUGUUUAAAUGUAACAGUCAAUUAUGUUUUAAUAAAAUCUGCCAAGAUUC